UGCGUCCGACAGAGAAAGUGAUUAAGCCUGUUGCUCCCAAAAAAGUUGAGCCAACAGUCCCCCAGGAUUCGAAAACCUGAGUUCUUCUCAAUUCAUGUGUAUGCUAAUGGGAAAGCCCUGGUUCCUCCAGUCCUCAUAAAUAUUCCCAAAUAUGCAAUGAAGAGACUAGAAGAUGUGUACAGCAUUGUGGAAAAGAAAAUAAGUCUUUG